rnacentral:tRNA from 1 species
GUCAGGAUGGCCGAGUGGUCUAAGGCGCCAGACUCAAGAUUCUGCUUCCCAAUGUUGGGGCUUCUGGUCUCCGCAUGGAGGCGUGGGUUCGAAUCCCACUUCUGACA